rnacentral:lncRNA from 1 species
CUACUCUCACAAAAGCUCUCAUAAAAUCUCCCAAAGAGACCCUCUCACAAGCUUGCCAGUACCAGAGUCCUUGAUGCCUCUGAACACUUCUUGUGGAGCAAACCGUUACAUCAUGCCUCUUCACAGCUGCUUUGUCUGAUGCUCUGCUCUGCCUACAUCUGAUCUACCGAUUGCACACUCUCGAUGCUCAUCGGACAUUCUCCCGACGGCUGCCCAGGCCUCUCUCUCAGCUUCUCUGUUCUCUAUCGAUUGCCACAGGUACCCUGUCGCCCACAGGGCCUUUAAAAUCUACAAUCCG